rnacentral:rRNA from 1 species
GAUGAACGCUGGCGGCGUGCUUAACACAUGCAAGUCGAACGGAAAGGCUCCUGCUUGCAGGGGUACUCGAGUGGCGAACGGGUGAGUAACACGUGGGUGAUCUGCCCUGCACUUCGGGAUAAGCCUGGGAAACUGGGUCUAAUACCGGAUAGGACGAUGGUUUGGAUGCCAUUGUGGAAAGUUUUUUCGGUGUGGGAUGAGCUCGCGGCCUAUCAGCUUGUUGGUGGGGUAAUGGCCUACCAAGGCGUCGACGGGUAGCCGGCCUGAGAGGGUGUACGGCCACAUUGGGACUGAGAUACGGCCCAGACUCCUACGGGAGGCAGCAGUGGGGAAUAUUGCACAAUGGGCGCAAGCCUGAUGCAGCGACGCCGCGUGGGGGAUGACGGCCUUCGGGUUGUAAACUCCUUUCGCUAGGGACGAAGCGCAAGUGACGGUGCCUGGAGAAGAAGCACCGGCUAACUACGUG